UGCUGGAUCUGCAGAAGGACAUGGUGGUGAUGUUGCUGUCGCUACUAGAAGGGAACGUGGUGAACGGCAUGAUCGCCCGGCAGAUGGUGGACAUGCUCGUGGAAUCCUCAUCCAAUGUGGAGAUGAUCCUCAAGUUCUUCGACAUGUUCCUGAAACUCAAGGACAUUGUGGGCUCUGAAGCCUUCCAGGACUACGUAACGGAUCCCCGUGGCCUCAUCUCCAAGAAGGACUUCCAGAAGGUGGGUGUGGGGCAUCGUGUGGGCCCAGG
rnacentral:lncRNA from 1 species